CUCUGUCCUUUCUGGGGGGCCCCUCCCUCCGCCUUCUCUCUCCCUCCCACGGUGGCGGGAGAAUGAUUCGAAGGGUCCCGAGGAGAUUAUGUGGGUCUGGAGCAGUAGUUUCAGGUCCUCUGGUACCUCGAAGGGAGUGGCAUGUUUCUGACCGGAUUGAGGAGCCAGAAAGAGUUGAACUCCACCUGUCAGUUGUGCAAGAAGGAAUUCUGAGCUCUCCCACGUGCAACGUCUUGCCCGUCCCCGCCGCCCCAUCUUUGCAAGCGCGAAGUCCAAGGUCUGGGUCCCAAGUUCCACCUGUGUUAAGAAGAUCAGAUACAGGAACACCCAUUGCCUUGCUCCAUGGACAGUUCCAUAAAGACAGUGCCAAAAACAUCUUCAUGAUGGUGACUUUACCUCGGAGCCGUGUCUCUUCUGUAUGGAGAUCCCACAUUGUUUGAUUUCCAUGUUGGCUUUGUUUCUUCUCACGACACUCCUCUCAGUUGUAUUUUCAGAAUUUUACUUCUUUUAUGCCAACUUAGUCUGAGAAACUGUCUAGAAGAGCCAAAGGACACAUGACAACGAAAUGCAGUGUGGUAUCCUGGGUGGGAUCUUGGAACAGAUAAAGGACCUUAAGUGAAAACUAAGGAAAUCAUAAUGAAGUAUGACCUUCAGUUAAUAAUAAUGUACCAGUAUUGGUUCAUCACUUGUGACAAAUGUCCCGUGAGUGGUUGAUAUUUGGGGAAUCUAGGUGCUCUGUACUAUCUUCAUAACUUUUUUCCAAAUCUAAAAACUAUUCUAAAAUAAAAAUUUUAUUUAAAAAAAGGCA